GCUGGGCGGGGUGUUACUUUUGGCAUGCUCCCAACUGGUGGAGGGGAUGCACAACGAGAUAGGAAGGGGGUGCUGGUUGGCUGGUUGCAGGGAAGGAGGCAAGGAGCAGGCUUGCUACAUCGAAUGGCAGAGGUGACCGACAAAUUGCACAGCCCCAAUGGCAAGGUGAGUGGCAAUUUUCUUGAAGGUCCUUAGUAGGAAAUUUAGUGCAUAAGAUCACAUAUAUCUUGCCCAGGCAGCAGCGUGCUUAGAAGUAGUCAAUUCAUGCUUAAAUCUGGCUAGUGUUGAAUCUGGUAACUGAGACCAAAUAGGAUGCAGUAUAAUAUGAUUAUACUAUAUUACUGUAAUCGACAAUGUGAUUAGCCAUCAAUAUAAAGUUACUGAUUCAAUAUGAGAUUUCAGAAAAUAUUCUGGUCAUACAAAACAUAGUGACACACAGUGUUGAAGGAUAAUCAUGGUUGCAAUGACCAGUAUAAUUACUUGCGUAUAGUGCUAUAAGCCAAACUUCUCAAUUACUUUAGAAGUACGGCAGAGUACGUCCCAUUCAUCGAUUCAAGUUAGCAUCUAACAAAUCCAUGACAUCUUUCUUUCCCUUUAAAGUUCAAAAAUCCAAUUAGCCAUUGACAAAUAAUUUUGGACAAAUAGUUGAAGGUACAAGUGUACAACCUGGAGAAUGUCAAUGUAGGAACUGAUAUGACUUGAUGUAGCAGGUUCACUUGUUUGGAGUUCCUAGAACAAGUAGCAGCGCUAAAUUGUCACAUAUAUGAGUAAUCUAGUAUGGUAUUGUAAAAUCACCAAUGCUUCACUUUCAUUAUCUGAAACUUAUUUGGAAAGAAACAAACACUUCCCACAUCACGUCCUUCACAAUAUGCAUUUCCCUACACGGAAAAAACCUUGUGACAAAGGCAAAUAUACUGAAAUAAUAUAUGAACCAUAGCCGAAUGACAUAUUACCUCGGUUUGUUGUGAAGGCAUAGGAUUACUUUCUUGCACAUUUUUUGAUUUUAUGUUGCUUUUCUACAAUAAGGUAGCUUACACUUCAGCAAGUUAUAAGAGGAAAAAAGAAGUUCUUUAAAAGAGAGUAUAAAUUUAGAUACCUUUCUUCCUUUUUGACUUGACGCUCCAUUUGUAUCUUUUGGUACCUGCUUCUUCUUCGCUCUCAAUCUUUUGACUACUUGAUCUACUUUAGAUUCCUUUCUCUUUGAGGGAGGGCGACCUACACUGCGAACAGGGACUGGGCUAUGUACAACUUUUUCUUUGUUGAACGUUGUAUCUCCAUGUUUUGAAGUAGGAUCCACC
rnacentral:lncRNA from 1 species